CCUACGGGAGGCAGCAGUGGGGAAUUUUGGACAAUGGGCGCAAGCCUGAUCCAGCAAUGCCGCGUGAGUGAAGAAGGCCUUCGGGUUGUAAAGCUCUUUUGUCAGGGAAGAAACGGUGGUUCCUAAUACGGACUACUAAUGACGGUACCUGAAGAAUAAGCACCGGCUAACUACGUGCCAGCAGCCGCGGUAAUACGUAGGGUGCAAGCGUUAAUCGGAAUUACUGGGCGUAAAGCGUGCGCAGGCGGUUAUAUAAGUCAGAUGUGAAAUCCCCGGGCUCAACCUGGGAACUGCAUUUGAGACUGUAUGGCUAGAGUGUGUCAGAGGGGGGUAGAAUUCCACGUGUAGCAGUGAAAUGCGUAGAUAUGUGGAGGAAUACCGAUGGCGAAGGCAGCCCCCUGGGAUAACACUGACGCUCAUGCACGAAAGCGUGGGGAGCAAACAGGAUUAGAUACCCUGGUAGUCCACGCCCUAAACGAUGUCUACUAGUUGUCGGGACUUAAUUGUCUUGGUAACGCAGCUAACGCGUGAAGUAGACCGCCUGGGGAUACGGUCGCAAGNUUAAAACUCAAAUGAAUUGACGG
rnacentral:rRNA from 1 species